rnacentral:piRNA from 1 species
UGAUAAUCAUUUUUAGGGCAAGGCUGU